CUCGGCAAAUUAUCCUCAUAAGUUUGACGACAAGAGGUACCGCAUAUUAUUAAUAAUAAUUAUUAAAUAGUAAAAUAUCUAAUAUUUUUUAUUUUUAUAAGGCGGUGACACAUAAUCGGAGGCCCCGACUGUUUACUAAAAACACAGAUCACAGCAAUCAUGUAAAUGAUAGUAUUGUGGUCGAAAUUUGCCCGAUGCCAUUAAUAUAAGAGAGGUUAUAGUUUCUGUGACUAAUCGAAAGUCUGGUUAAUAGCGGUCUUAACUAUGAGGAUCCUAAGGUAGCAAAAUAAAUUGGCCAUUAAAUGUGGUCCGGUAUCAAUAAUGUAACGAGGGCCUCACUGUCUCUACAACUUGCUCAGUGAAAUUGAAUUACCCGUGCAGAUGCGGGUUACCUCCAGGGGGACGGGAAGACCCUAUGCAGCUUCUACUG
rnacentral:rRNA from 2 species